rnacentral:rRNA from 1 species
GAUGAACGCUAGCGGCAGGCUUAAUACAUGCAAGUCGAGGGGGAGCACGGGUAGCAAUACUUGGUGGCGACCGGCGCACGGGUGCGUAACACGUAUACAAUCUACCUAUAACAGGGGGAUAGCAUUUCGAAAGAGAGAUUAAUACCCCGUAACACACGAAACGGCAUCGUUUUUUGUCGAAAGUUCCGACGGUUAUAGAUGAGUAUGCGUCUGAUUAGAUAGUUGGUAGUGUAAUGAACUACCAAGGCGACGAACAGUAGGGAAACUGAGAGGACUACCCCCCACACUGGUACUGAGACACGGACCAGACUCCUACGGGAGGCAGCAGUAAGGAAUAUUGGACAAUGGUGGCAACACUGAUCCAGCCAUGCCGCGUGCAGGAAGACGGCCCUAUGGGUUGUAAACUGCUUUUGUACCAGAGAAAACCUAUCUACGUGUAGAUAGCUGAUAGUAUGGUAAGAAUAAGCAUCGGCUAACUUCGUGCCAGCCGCCGCCGUAAGAC